rnacentral:rRNA from 1 species
AGAGUUUGAUCAUGGCUCAGGAUAAACGCUGGCGGCGUGCCUAAUGCAUGCAAGUCGAACGGGUAGCCCUUCGGGGUUACUAGUGGCAAACGGGUGAGUAACACGUGGGGAUCUGCCCAGUAGUGGGGAACAACUCCUCGAAAGAGGAGCUAAUACCGCAUACGGUGCCUGUAGAGAUACGGGAAACUAAAGCCGACGCAAGAAGGCGCUAUUGGAGGGACCUGCGGCUGAUUAGCUAGUUGGUGGGGUAAAGGCCUACCAAGGCGAUGAUCAGUAGCUGGUCUGAGAGGAUGGACAGCCACACUGGGACUGAGAUACGGCCCAGACUCCUACGGGAGGCAGCAGCAAGGAAUUUUCGUCAAUGGGGGAAACCCUGAACGAGCAACGCCGCGUGGGCGAAGAAGUCUUUCGGGAUGUAAAGCCCUUUUCCCUUUGAAGAAAGAAAGACGGUAGAAGGGGAAUAAGCAUCGGCUAACUACGUGCCAGCAGCCGCGGUAAUACGUAGGAUGCAAGCGUUGUCCGGAAUUAUUGGGCGUAAAGAGCGCGCAGGCGGUCUAUCAAGUCAGAUGUGAAAUGUCCCGGCUUAACCGGGAAGGGUCAUUUGAAACUGGUAGACUAGAGUACAGCAGAGGAUAGCGGAAUUCCCGGUGUAGUGGUGAAAUGCGUAGAUAUCGGGAGGAACACCAGUGGCGAAGGCGGCUAUCUGGGCUGAAACUGACGCUGAGGCGCGAAGGCUAGGGGAGCAAACAGGAUUAGAUACCCUGGUAGUCCUAGCAGUAAACGAUGGAUACUAGGUGUUGGGGGAAAUUGACCCCCUCAGUGCCGCAGUCAACACAAUAAGUAUCCCGCCUGGGGAGUACGGUCGCAAGAUUAAAACUCAAGGAAUUGACGG